rnacentral:rRNA from 1 species
GACGAACGCUGGCGGCGUGCUUAACACAUGCAAGUCGAACGGAAAGGCCCCUUUGGGGGUCCUCGAGUGGCGAACGGGUGAGUAACACGUGGGUAACCUGCCCUUGCCUUCGGGAUAACUUCAGGAAACUGGGGCUAAUACCGGAUAGGAAUCCUUGCUGCAUGGUGGGGGUUGGAAAGCUUCGGCGGUUUUGGAUGGACUCGCGGCUUAUCAGCUUGUUGGUGGGGUAGUGGCUUACCAAGGCUUUGACGGGUAGCCGGCCUGAGAGGGCGACCGGCCACAUUGGGACUGAGAUACGGCCCAGACUCCUACGGGAGGCAGCAGUGGGGAAUAUUGCACAAUGGGCGGAAGCCUGAUGCAGCAACGCCGCGUGCGGGAUGACGGCCUUCGGGUUGUAAACCGCUUUCAGCAGGGGCGAAGCUUGUGGUGACGGUACCUGCAGAAGAAGCACCGGCUAACUACGUG